rnacentral:rRNA from 1 species
ACGAACGCUGGCGGCGUGCUUCACACAUGCAGGUCGAACGGAAAGGCCCUGCUUUUGUGGGGUGCUCGAGUGGCGAACGGGUGAGUAACACGUGAGUAACCUGCCCUUGACUUUGGGAUAACUUCAGGAAACUGGGGCUAAUACCGGAUAGGAGCUCCUGCUGCAUGGUGGGGGUUGGAAAGUUUCGGCGGUUGGGGAUGGACUCGCGGCUUAUCAGCUUGUUGGUGGGGUAGUGGCUUACCAAGGCUUUGACGGGUAGCCGGCCUGAGAGGGUGACCGGCCACAUUGGGACUGAGAUACGGCCCAGACUCCUACGGGAGGCAGCAGUGGGGAAUAUUGCACAAUGGGCGGAAGCCUGAUGCAGCAACGCCGCGUGCGGGAUGACGGCCUUCGGGUUGUAAACCGCUUUCGCCUGUGACGAAGCGUGAGUGACGGUAAUGGGUAAAGAAGCACCGGCUAACUACGUG